GCACAACGCGAAGAACCUUACCUACCCUUGACAUGUCUGGAAUCCUGAAGAGAUUUAGGAGUGCUCGCAAGAGAACCGGAACACAGGUGCUGCAUGGCUGUCGUCAGCUCGUGUCGUGAGAUGUUGGGUUAAGUCCCGCAACGAGCGCAACCCUUGUCAUUAGUUGCUACGAAAGGGCACUCUAAUGAGACUGCCGGUGACAAACCGGAGGAAGGUGGGGAUGACGUCAAGUCCUCAUGGCCCUUAUGGGUAGGGCUUCACACGUCAUACAAUGGUCGGGACAGAGGGUCGCCAACCCGCGAGGGGGAGCCAAUCCCAGAAACCCGAUCGUAGUCCGGAUCGCAGUCUGCAGCUCGACUGCGUGAAGUCGGAAUCGCUAGUAAUCGCGAAUCAGAAUGUCGCGGUGAAUACGUUCCCGGGUCUUGUACACACCG
rnacentral:rRNA from 1 species